UAUGGAAUUAAGGAGCUCUUCUUCAGUCCAGUCCGAGGCAGUUUGAAGGCCGACACUCAGCUGCUGACUCGUUGGUUCAAGAACUCAUCAACUAAGCCAUACAGUUUAAGUGCGCUGAAAACAGUGGUGUGGUGUGUUUCUGAUCCAACGAAGCAGGAGCCGAUAGGUUGGUUAUUGCUGUCACGUCUUGGACUGAAGGGAGCUCCUUAAACCCUUAUU
rnacentral:pre_miRNA from 2 species